GGGCCCGCACAAGCGGUGGAGCAUGUGGUUCAAUUCGACGCAACGCGAAGAACCUUACCGGGGUUUGAACCGUACGGGACAGCUACAGAGACGUAGUCUUCCUUCGGGACCCGUAUAGAGGUGCUGCAUGGCUGUCGUCAGCUCGUGUCGUGAGAUGUUGGGUUAAGUCCCGCAACGAGCGCAACCCUUGCCUCCUGUUGCUAACGAGUAAAGUCGAGCACUCUGGAGAGACUGCCGGUGAUAAACCGGAGGAAGGUGGGGAUGACGUCAAGUCCUCAUGGCCUUUAUGCCCCGGGCUACACACGUGCUACAAUGGCUGGUACAAAGGGUCGCAAAACCGCGAGGUGGAGCUAAUCCCAGAAAACCAGUCCCAGUUCGGAUUGCAGUCUGCAACUCGACUGCAUGAAGUUGGAAUCGCUAGUAAUCGCGGAUCAGCACGCCGCGGUGAAUACGUUCCCGGGCCUU
rnacentral:rRNA from 1 species